CUGUCCUUAUGAGUUAUCUAUACGAUGGGUGUUCAGUAUUGCAUUUCCUUUAGUUCACUUUUUGAACUGAGACUGUUAUUGUAUGUUUAAAUGUCAGCCCAUUGUUUGUGGUCAAGCUGUUUUUUUAAUUCAGAUAUCCAAUAAGUUUGGAAUUAAGGCAUUGGAGAGAGAGCAGAAAUUAGACCUUUGGAACAGUGACAGCGGAGGCAGAGUUGCUGAACUUAUGAAACUGGACUGCAUCAAAGGCUGAGACUAUCUGGUGAAGAACAACAAGUCCCAGCCACAGGUUCCCUUCCUCACAACUUCCCAAGUACUCCCAUCUUCCAUAUAUGAUGCGUGGUAACCAUGGUUAACAGAGGAAGAACAAUGAUUUCAAGCACCACCCUCCUUUUAAAGCUUCCUUUGAAAAAGCAGCAGUUUCAGCUGUGAAACGCAUCAGCCGUAUGCCUUUUUGUCACCUUGAUUCACCCAAAAGCCUACCAUCGCCUGAACAACUAUUGGACCCUGCAAAAGCACCAACACUGAACAUUAUCCAUUGCAAAGGAUCGGACUCUCUUCAAACACCACGCAUCACUGGUGAGGACUUCCCUGUUUUAUUUAUUAAGGGGGUCAUUCCGAGUUGUUCGCUCGCUAGCAGAUUUUAGCAGCAUUGCACAUGCUAGGCCGCCGCCCUCUGGGAGUGUAUCUUAGCUUAGCAGAAUUGCGAACGAAAGAUUAGCAGAAUUGCGAAUAGAAAUUUCCUAGCAGUUUCUGAGUAGCUCGAGACUUACUCCUACACUGCGAUCAGUUCAGCCCGUUUCGUUCCUGGUUUGACGUCACAAACACGCCCUGCGUUCGGCCAGCCACUCCCCCGUUUCUCCAGACACUCCCGCGUUUUAUCCAGACACGCCUGCGUUUUUCCGCACACUCCCAGAAAACGGUCAGUUUCCGCCCAGAAACACCCACUUCCUGUCAAUCACACUCCGAUCACUACAACGAUGAAAAUUCUUCGUUCGGACGUGAGUAAAUCUACUAAGUUUUGUGCUAAAAUACUUAGUGCAUGCGCACUGCGUACCAUGCGCAUGCGCAUUUUCGCCUUAAUCGCUCCGUUGCGAAAAUCAGCAAUGAGCAAACAACUCGGAAUGACCCCCUAAAUUGGGACUGAUAAUUCUCCAGCGUUGGAAGUAAGAUCACCAAUCCAGGGACUGUGCUACAGCCCCAGGAAAAUUGUUGUCCAGUUGUGCAGCUUAUAUGGUCCUAUGAGAAAAAUUGGAACAGGCGAGAUGUGAUACAUUUACAUUGUGACUAGAAGCCACAUGUUUUGCAGUGUAAUAUUUAUGAAUUAAUUUUGAAUCCAAUUUUAGUUGUUGCCAUUAUAUGAAUUUUAUUAUUAAACACAUUGAUAUUAAGACAA